CACUAUCGUUAACUGAAUACAUAGGUUAACGAGGCGAACCGGGGGAACUGAAACAUCUAAGUACCCCGAGGAAAAGAAAUCAACCGAGAUUCCCCCAGUAGCGGCGAGCGAACGGGGAGCAGCCCAGAGUCUGAAUCAGCUUGUGUGUUAGUGGAACGGUCUGGAAAGUCCGACGGUACAGGGUGAUAGUCCCGUACACCAAAAUGCACAGGCUGUGAACUCGAAGAGUAGGGCGGGACACGUGGUAUCCUGUCUGAAUAUGGGGGGACCAUCCUCCAAGGCUAAAUACUCCUGACUGACCGAUAGUGAACCAGUACCGUGAGGGAAAGGCGAAAAGAACCCCGGCGAGGGGAGUGAAAAAGAACCUGAAACCGUGUACGUACAAGCAGUGGGAGCACCUUCGGGUGUGACUGCGUACCUUUUGUAUAAUGGGUCAGCGACUUAUAUUCUGUAGCAAGGUUAACCGUAUAGGGGAGCCGCAGGGAAACCGAGUCUUAACUGGGCGUUAAGUUGCAGGGUAUAGACCCGAAACCCGGUGAUCUAGCCAUGGGCAGGUUGAAGGUUGGGUAACACUAACUGGAGGACCGAACCGACUAAUGUUGAAAAAUUAGCGGAUGACUUGUGGCUGGGGGUGAAAGGCCAAUCAAACCGGGAGAUAGCUGGUUCUCCCCGAAAGCUAUUUAGGUAGCGCCUCGUGAAUUCAUCUUCGGGGGUAGAGCACUGUUUCGGCUAGGGGGUCAUCCCGACUUACCAACCCGAUGCAAACUACGAAUACCGAAGAAUGUUAUCACGGGAGACACACGGCGGGUGCUAACGUCCGUCGUGAAGAGGGAAACAACCCAGACCGCCAGCUAAGGUCCCAAAGUCAUGGUUAAGUGGGAAACGAUGUGGGAAGGCACAGACAGCCAGGAUGUUGGCUUAGAAGCAGCCAUCAUUUAAAGAAAGCGUAAUAGCUCACUGGUCGAGUCGGCCUGCGCGGAAGAUGUAACGGGGCUAAACCAUGCACCGAAGCUGCGGCAGCGACACUAUGUGUUGUUGGGUAGGGGAGCGUUCUGUAAGCCUGCGAAGGUGACCUGUGAGGGUUGCUGGAGGUAUCAGAAGUGCGAAUGCUGACAUAAGUAACGAUAAAGCGGGUGAAAAGCCCGCUCGCCGGAAGACCAAGGGUUCCUGUCCAACGUUAAUCGGGGCAGGGUGAGUCGACCCCUAAGGCGAGGCCGAAAGGCGUAGUCGAUGGGAAACAGGUUAAUAUUCCUGUACUUGGUGUUACUGCGAAGGGGGGACGGAGAAGGCUAUGUUAGCCGGGCGACGGUUGUCCCGGUUUAAGCAUGUAGGCUGGUUGUCCAGGCAAAUCCGGAUAAUCAAGGCUGAGGUGUGAUGACGAGGCACUACGGUGCUGAAGUAACAAAUGCCCUGCUUCCAGGAAAAGCCUCUAAGCAUCAGGUAACAUCNNNNNNNNNNNNNNNNNNNNNNNNNNNNNNNNNNNNNNNNNNNNNNNNNNNNNNNNNNNNNNNNNNNNNNNNNNNNNNNNNNNNNNNNNNNNNNNNNNNAAAUCGUACCCCAAACCGACACAGGUGGUCAGGUAGAGAAUACCAAGGCGCUUGAGAGAACUCGGGUGAAGGAACUAGGCAAAAUGGUGCCGUAACUUCGGGAGAAGGCACGCUGGUGUGUAGGUGAAGUCCCUGCGGAUGGAGCUGAGACCAGUCGAAGAUACCAGCUGGCUGCAACUGUUUAUUAAAAACACAGCACUGUGCAAACACGAAAGUGGACGUAUACGGUGUGACGCCUGCCCGGUGCCGGAAGGUUAAUUGAUGGGGUUAUCCGUAAGGAGAAGCUCUUGAUCGAAGCCCCGGUAAACGGCGGCCGUAACUAUAACGGUCCUAAGGUAGCGAAAUUCCUUGUCGGGUAAGUUCCGACCUGCACGAAUGGCGUAAUGAUGGCCAGGCUGUCUCCACCCGAGACUCAGUGAAAUUGAACUCGCUGUGAAGAUGCAGUGUACCCGCGGCAAGACGGAAAGACCCCGUGAACCUUUACUAUAGCUUGACACUGAACAUUGAGCCUUGAUGUGUAGGAUAGGUGGGAGGCUUUGAAGCGUGGACGCCAGUCUGCGUGGAGCCAACCUUGAAAUACCACCCUUUAAUGUUUGAUGUUCUAACGUUGGCCCCUGACCGGGGUUGCGGACAGUGUCUGGUGGGUAGUUUGACUGGGGCGGUCUCCUCCCAAAGCGUAACGGAGGAGCACGAAGGUUAGCUAAUCCUGGUCGGACAUCAGGAGGUUAGUGCAAUGGCAUAAGCUAGCUUGACUGCGAGCGUGACGGCGCGAGCAGGUGCGAAAGCAGGUCAUAGUGAUCCGGUGGUUCUGAAUGGAAGGGCCAUCGCUCAACGGAUAAAAGGUACUCCGGGGAUAACAGGCUGAUACCGCCCAAGAGUUCAUAUCGACGGCGGUGUUUGGCACCUCGAUGUCGGCUCAUCACAUCCUGGGGCUGAAGUAGGUCCCAAGGGUAUGGCUGUUCGCCAUUUAAAGUGGUACGCGAGCUGGGUUUAGAACGUCGUGAGACAGUUCGGUCCCUAUCUGCCGUGGGCGCUGGAGAAUUGAGGGGGGCUGCUCCUAGUACGAGAGGACCGGAGUGGACGCAUCACUGGUGUUCGGGUUGUCAUGCCAAUGGCACUGCCCGGUAGCUAAAUGCGGAAGAGAUAAGUGCUGAAAGCAUCUAAGCACGAAACUUGCCCCGAGAUGAGUUCUCCCUGAGACUUUAAGUCUCCUGAAGGAACGUUGAAGACGACGACGUUGAUAGGCCGGGUGUGUAAGCGCAGCGAUGCGUUGAGCUAACCGGUACUAAUGAACCGUGAGGCUUAACCUUACAACGCCGAAG
rnacentral:rRNA from 1 species